rnacentral:rRNA from 1 species
GAUGAACGCUGACAGAAUGCUUAACACAUGCAAGUCGAUGGGGAAGUGGUGCUUGCACCAUGGUAACCAUGGCGGACGGGUGAGUAACGCGUAAGGAACUUGCCUGCGGGACUGGGAUAACAGCAGGAAACUGCUGAUAAUACCGGAUAAGGUCAUUAAGCUGCAUAGCUUAGUGAUGAAAGGAGACGCCUGCGGAGAGCCUUGCGUCCUAUUAGCUAGUUGGAGGGGUAACGGCCCACCAAGGCGAAGAUAGGUAGCCGGCCUGAGAGGGUGGACGGCCACAAGGGGACUGAGAUACGGCCCUUACUCCUACGGGAGGCAGCAGUGGGGAAUAUUGGACAAUGGGGGCAACCCUGAUCCAGCAAUUCUGUGUGCACGAAGACGGUUUUCGGAUUGUAAAGUGCUUUCAGCAGGGAAGAAGGAAGUGACGGUACCUGCAGAAGAAGCGACGGCUAAAUACGUG